GAACCGUGUGCAGGAGAGGGCUACAUCGGAUUAUAGUGGCCGCCGAAGGCGCAGACACCCUUAAAUCGCUCAGGCAAAAGGACUGUGCACACCAU
rnacentral:ncRNA from 1 species